CCAUUCUGUGGUCCAGAGCAAUGUCCCGCCCACAGCUCCAUCUGAUUGGUUAUACGUCACGAGUAACACCCUAUCAACGCCGAAGGCUGCUCUGUACACAGACGGACACAGACACGCGCAGCUCCGGUCAACGAGCGGCUCCGGUUAAGGGCUGAGCUGUGUGUUGGAAGGCUAUAAGACCAGCUCAGGACCAGUAUUCAGCAGCCAGGAAUCCCAUUUAGCACCCCCAUCUCUCCUUUAAAGCUGCAGGAGGGUACAAUCUGUGCUGACAGCCUGUUCCUCCACAAUUGAUUCCUACCCAGAAUGCAAUAAAAGUCACUGAAGAGAGAAGAGGAGCAACUGAGUAACAACGGCUUGUUAAUCAGUGCUGCUGAUGGGUGUGUGUGUGUAAUUUGGGAUGGGCUCAUCUAUGUGCUCAUGUAGAUGCAAAUACAAAGCAUAAAGUCGAUUUACUUGUUUAUACAUUACAGUGGCAGUGUGUUUGUAACACAUGAACGCAAGGAGCCUUUCUCGCUGUUGGUAUUCGGUAUUGAGUCUGAUUGACGUCUUAAUGGAUUCCCUGCCACCUUGAUGCUUUUUCCAUAACUGCUAAUCAUUAGCUGUGCUGCCGUUUGAUUAAAAUCAAUCGAUCAUUUGA